GGACUACCCGGGUAUCUAAUCCUGUUUGCUCCCCUUGCUCUCGCGCCUCAGCGUCAGGUAUAAACUAGAAAACCGCUUUCGCCACUGGUGUUCUUCCACAUAUCUACGCAUUUCACCGCUACACGUGGAAUUCCGUUUUCUCCGUCAACCCUCUAGAAUGAUAGUUUCAAAUGCAGCACCAAAGUUGAGCUUUGGUAUUUCACAUCUGACUUAUCUCUCCGCCUACGCGCCCUUUACGCCCAAUAAUUCCGAUUAAUGCUUGCACUCUCCGUAUUACCGCGGCUGCUGGCAC
rnacentral:rRNA from 1 species